GAUGAACGCUGGCGGCGUGCCUAAUACAUGCAAGUCGAGCGAACAGACGAGGAGCUUGCUCCUCUGACGUUAGCGGCGGACGGGUGAGUAACACGUGGAUAACCUACCUAUAAGACUGGGAUAACUUCGGGAAACCGGAGCUAAUACCGGAUAACAUGUUGAACCGCAUGGUUCAACAGUGAAAGACGGUCUUGCUGUCACUUAUAGAUGGAUCCGCACCGCAUUAGCUAGUUGGUAAGGUAACGGCUUACCAAGGCAACGAUGCGUAGCCGACCUGAGAGGGUGAUCGGCCACACUGGAACUGAGACACGGUCCAGACUCCUACGGGAGGCAGCAGUAGGGAAUCUUCCGCAAUGGGCGAAAGCCUGACGGAGCAACGCCGCGUGAGUGAUGAAGGUCUUCGGAUCGUAAAACUCUGUUAUUAGGGAAGAACAAAUGUGUAAGUAACUAUGCACGUCUUGACGGUACCUAAUCAGAAAGCCACGGCUAACUACGUG
rnacentral:rRNA from 1 species